rnacentral:lncRNA from 1 species
UAUCUUUUCACUCUGAUAAAUACAAAUAAUGACAUUUUGUUUAUUUCAUAUAUUUCUACAUGUAGCAAUGUCCCAUUUUCUUAUUCUUGGUUGUUUCAUAUUAACGUAUAGUAAAGUCUCCUACCAAAUCACCUAGGAGAUUUAAACAAAAACUUAAAAUGUCUGUGGGAACUUAAGAAAAGUUUAUGCCAUUGUUCCUUGGAGCUCAUAAGCCAGCUGGUGGACUUUCAAGGAUGCCAGGAGCGGGUGAGGAAGACAACGUCAAUCGGGGGAUCAAAUGGAGACAUGGCUGGAGCUCAGGGGCUUCCAGGACUGAAGGGACAAAUGAAGAUUAUAAGUAAUGGUUGAUUCGCAAAGGUAGGAGUGCAGCUUCCCCAAACCUCUAUCUGAGAAUCUACUCCUGGGACCUGCCCGAAGACAAUGGUUAAAUUCUCAUGCUCCGCUUCAGUGGACGGAGUUCACCAAUUCGGAUCGCGGGCGUGGACUUACCACCGCUCGUCAAGCCAUGCUAAGGCGGCAUCCCACGCAGAAGAACUAGAAGAAGGAUGUACAGCUAGGAUAUAUGACUAUGUACUGGGGACUUGGGGAGAGAAAAAAGAGGGUGAUUAGCUCCAGACAUUAGCUCAGGGCUGAUCUUCCUUACAAAAAAAACCAAAAACAGAAUCUACUCCAAGGAAAGGAGAAAGUAGAGCUAGAAACCUUGAAAUUACCCCAAGGAAAAAAAAAAGAUAAGUAAAUGAUCGGAUUCAUCCAGAUAUAAGUAGUUCAUUUUUCUGCAUUAGAGAGAAUGGAGACUUGAUAGAAAAACAAAUUCAAUCACAGAAAAAUGAGGAAAACUACAUUUUUACAUCCCCUGUUGAUGGUUUUGAAAUUUUAUUUACCUCAAAGAUAUAUUUCUGUGAUUUUAAAUCAAUGUUUGUUUCCCUCACCAGCUUGUAAAACUUCACAGGAAAACAGAUUCUAUUUUUUUCAAAUUUUAUCACCUCCCACCUGCCUUUUUAGCAGAGCAAUUUA